AACGAACGCUGGCGGCAUGCCUAACACAUGCAAGUCGAACGAGACCUUCGGGUCUAGUGGCGCACGGGUGCGUAACGCGUGGGAACCUGCCCUUAGGUUCGGAAUAACUCCCCGAAAGGGGUGCUAAUACCGGAUAAUGUCUUCGGACCAAAGAUUUAUCGCCUUUGGAUGGGCCCGCGUUGGAUUAGCUAGUUGGUAGGGUAAAAGCCUACCAAGGCGACGAUCCAUAGCUGGUCUGAGAGGAUGAUCAGCCACACUGGGACUGAGACACGGCCCAGACUCCUACGGGAGGCAGCAGUGGGGAAUAUUGGACAAUGGGCGAAAGCCUGAUCCAGCAAUGCCGCGUGAGUGAUGAAGGCCUUAGGGUUGUAAAGCUCGUUUAACCGGGAUGAUAAUGACAGUAACGGGAGAAUAAGCUACGGCUAACUCCGUG
rnacentral:rRNA from 1 species